AACUUUUGGCAAUGGAUCACUUGGCUCUCGCAUCGAUGAAGAACGCAGCGAAAUGCGAUAAGUAAUGUUAAUUGCAGAAUUCAGUGAAUCAUCGAAUCUUUGAACGCAUCUUGCGCUCCUUGGUAUUCCGAGGAGCAUGCCUGUUUGAGUGUCAUUAAAUUCUGUCAAAACAUGCACUUGAGUGUGUUUUGGAUUGUGGUAGUGUCUGCUGGCUUUUUUAUUAUUAUUUAAUACCUGCUCUCCUGAAAGACAUUAGGUUUGGGGGGAUGUGCCAAGUCACUUCUGCCUUUCUAUUGGUGUGAUAGAUGAAUAAACUUAUCUACGCCAGGAAAGCAGGUUGCAGGUGAAAGCACUGUGAUCUCUCUGCUCCCUAAUUGACAUUUGUCUGAUAACUUGACGUCAAAUCAGGUAGGACUACCCGCUGAACUUAAGCAUAUAAAUAAGCGGAGGCU
rnacentral:misc_RNA from 1 species